rnacentral:rRNA from 1 species
UAUAGCCUACGGGAGGCAGCAGUAGGGAAUCUUCCACAAUGGACGAAAGUCUGAUGGAGCAACGCCGCGUGAGUGAAGAAGGGUUUCGGCUCGUAAAGCUCUGUUGGUAGUGAAGAAAGAUAGAGGGAGUAACCUGCCUUUAUUUGACGGUAAUUACUUAGAAAGUCACGGCUAACUACGUGCCAGCAGCCGCGGUAAUACGUAAGUGGCAAGCGUUGUCCGGAUUUAUUUGGCGUAAAGCGCGUGCAGGCGGGU